CCCACCCCCGCCCGGCCCCGCCCCCUUUCCCUGCAGCACUGCGACGUUUGAGGGGGCGGGGCGCCGGGCCGGGCCGGGCCCGCUAGGCCUUCAGUGGGUUGAGCGGGGAGACAAGGGCGGGGUCUCAGGGGAAGGGAGGCCGUACCGAGAUCUGGAGAAGGACUGGCGCAGUUAGGCUUUGAGAAAUGAAGGCGCAGCACGCGAGAGGGAGAUCGCAGAGGUCAGCACAACCGGAGUGCAAUGGACGAGCCCCACUUUGGAAAAACUCCCUUCGGGAUCAUUGUAUCUCCCCUGUCAGGAUGCGUCAUCUCCCAGUCGCUGGUCACGGUGAAUCAGAUCUUCACCCAAAGUUAGACAAACUUCAGAAACAAACUCAGAGUGUCUGUUCAGAAACUAAACUUCACAAGUAACUGUCUAGAAGCUGGAUGACUGCUCUAAUUCUUGUUUGCUACAACUGAAAAAUGAGGAUUAUAACAGUAACUACCCUAGAGAGUUGCUAUGAGAUAUAAUGCAAUUAUUUAGUGCAUAGAUCAGUAACCAACAGAGUGGACAUUCAGCAAAUAUUAGUGAUGACAAUGAUUGACUGGCUGAUUAGUCAAUCACUGGUGAUGAUGGAAACAGCAUUUCUGAAGUUAAAAGUCAGCUGCAUGGAAAUACAGAAUGAAACUGAAGAAAGAACAUUGAACUUUGCGAGAUUUCAG
ensembl:lncRNA